rnacentral:SRP_RNA from 2 species
GCCAGGUGUGGUGGCGGGUGCCUGUAAUCCCAGCUACUCAGGAGGCUGAGGCAGGAGAAUCGCUUGAACCCAGGAGGCAGAGGUUGCAGUGAGCCAAAAUUGUGCCACUGCACUCCAGCCUGGGUGACAGAGUGAGACUCUGUCUCAA